AUUGAACGCUGGCGGCAGGCCUAACACAUGCAAGUCGAGCGGAUGAAGGGAGCUUGCUCCUGGAUUCAGCGGCGGACGGGUGAGUAAUGCCUAGGAAUCUGCCUGGUAGUGGGGGAUAACGUCCGGAAACGGGCGCUAAUACCGCAUACGUCCUGAGGGAGAAAGUGGGGGAUCUUCGGACCUCACGCUAUCAGAUGAGCCUAGGUCGGAUUAGCUAGUUGGUGGGGUAAAGGCCUACCAAGGCGACGAUCCGUAACUGGUCUGAGAGGAUGAUCAGUCACAGUGGAACUACGACACGGUCCAGACUCCUACGGGAGGCAGCAGUGGGGAAUAUUGGACAAUGGGCGAAAGCCUGAUCCAGGCAUGCCGCGUGUGUGAAGAAGGUCUUCGGAUUGUAAAGCACUUUAAGUUGGGAGGAAGGGCCGUAAGUUAAUACCUUGCUGUUUUGACGUUACCAACAGAAUAAGCACCGGCUAACUUCGUG
rnacentral:rRNA from 1 species